rnacentral:rRNA from 1 species
GACGAACGCUGGCGGCGUGCUUAACACAUGCAAGUCGAACGGAAAGGCCCUGCUUUUGUGGUAUGCUAGAGUGGCGAACGGGUGAGAAACACGUGUGUUACCUGCCCUUCAUUUUGGUAUAACUUCAGGAAACGGGGUCUAAUACCGGAUAGGAGCUUCUGCGGCAUGGUGGUGGUUGGAAUUUUCCGGCGGGUGUGGAUUGACUUCCUGUUUAUCAGCUUGUUGGUGGGGUAGUGGCUUACCAAGGCAGUGAUGGGUAGCCGGCCUGUGCAGGUCACCGGGCACCUUGGGACUGAGGUUAGGCCCCGACUUCUGAGGGGGGCAGCAGGUGGGAAUAAUGCACGAAGGGGGGAAGGCUGAAGCAGCAAGCCCGCGUGCGGGAAGACGGGCUUCUGGUUGUAAAACGCCUUCCCCUGUGACGGAGCCUGUGUGAGGGUAAUGGGUGAAAAAAAGCCGGCUCAAAACACG